rnacentral:snoRNA from 1 species
CCUCCUUUUCUUGGCAGGGAUCAGGCGUGCGGUCUUGGUCCAGUAAUGUAAGGACCCUGGCCCCCUCGGUGUCAUGUCUUCGGUACUGGCAGCUUCCAAGCUCCAGGACACAG